AAGCACACCGCCUACGAUACAGUGUGUCACAAAAUUAUCGGCACACAUGCACCGAAGUGAGCGCCAUCUUAGCAUGAGGACAAUCAUAUGUAGUGCAAUACUAAUUCUGUACAAAGAAACAAGCUUCUAGUCCUUGAAAAAGGUAAAAUAUAUUACCGAAACCGUCGGAUGUAGAUGCGAAA